GCAGCGGCAAGCUCAUAAUUCUGCCCAACGCCUUGGAGGGAAGAGACUUCCCUCUCCCUGCCCUUAAUCCGGCUCUGUUUCACGGGGUGUAGAAGGAAGGGGACGUGGCCGAAGACCCUCGCCGACAGGGACGGCGGCCUUGCCCAGGGGUGGCGAGAGGGCCGCACGGAGGGCUCAGAACAUCCCUGCUCUGGGAAUUGAUCUGAAGUCCCCGGAAAGGAGAAGGGUCAAUUUGGAAGAUCUCUACGGGGCCUCCUCCGUUGGUGCAGGAGACUCUUCCAGAAGAUGGAGAAGGCCGGAGAAACCAGCAGUGUGCAGGAUACUGGGGGAGGGGGAGAAAAGGUACUUUUGGAAGGUCCAGCCCAGGAGAAGGAGAAGCCAUCAGACCAGGUCCAAGCUGAGAAAGAAGAUCCCUCGGGUGAGUCCCCAGAAGUGAAGGACCACCAUGGUGAACCCAAGGAUGAGCAAAAGAAGCCGCUGCACAUCCAACACAGCUUCAGCUGCCCAGCAAAAGUGAACAGCUUAGGAGAUAUUCAGAAAGAGGCCUCAGAAGCCCCCAGCACAAAGUCCCAAAGAUCCUGCGGCUG